rnacentral:lncRNA from 1 species
CACCCACAAUGGCUCAAAAGGCUGGUCUUCUGAGAAAGACUUGCUGCUAGCCAAUCAUCACAGUCACUUUCCAGUUAUGUUAAGUGGCAUCAGAGCAUUGAUUAGCACUUACGGUAUGCAAGAUAUGGUAGGAGGAAAAGGGAAUUAUAGACAGAAACCAUGUGAAAGUAUAAAAGUCACUGAUAGACUAGAUACACGAAUGAGAAACAAAUCAAGCAUUAUCAUCACAGAAAACCACCAAAUCGCAAAAGAUAAGAAAGGGAUCAGGCAUGGUGGCUCAUCCCUGUAAUCCCAGCCCUUUGGAAGGCUGAGGUGGGAGAACUGCCUAAGGUCAAGAGUUUGAGACCAGCCAAGGCAACAUAGUGAGACCCUGUCUCUUAUUAAAAAAAGGAAAGGAAAAAAAUUUUUCAAGAGGAAGAAAGUAACAAAGGACAUAUAAAACAUCAGAAACCAAUUAACAAAAUGACAGGAAUAAGUCCUCACUCAUCAAUAACAACCUUGAAUGUAAAGAGUUCAAACUUCCCAAUUAAAAUAUAUAGCCUUGUUUAGCCGGGCAUGGUGCCACAUGCCUGUAAUCUCAGCUACUCAGGAGGCUGAGGCAGGAGAAUCACUUGAACCCGGGAGGUGGAGGUUGCAGUGAGCCAAGAUCAUGCCACUGCACUCCAGCUUGGGUGACAGAGUGAGACUCUAUCUCCAAAAAAAUACAAUUAAAAAAAUAUAUAUAUACACACACAUAAUACCCUUGCUGAGUGGGUUAGAAAAACAAGAUCCAGGCGAGGCAUGGUGACUCACAACUGUAAUCCCCAUGCUUUGGGAAGCUGAGGCAGGAGGAUGUCGCUUGAGUUCAAUACCAGCCUGGGCAACAGAGCAAGACCACUAGCUCUAAAAAAAAAAAAAAAAAGCUGGGCCUCGUGGCAUGUGCCUGUAGUCCCAGCUACUCGGGAGGCUAAGACAUGAGGGUUGUUUGAGUUCAGGAGUUGAAGGCUGCAGCUGAGUUAUGAUUGCCACUGCACUACAACCUGUGUGACAAAACAAGACCUUGUCUCUAAAAUAAAUUUUGUAAAAUGAAUUUAACAAAAACAAGAUCCAGCUAUAUGCUGCCUAUAAGGAACUCACUAAAAAGAUGCAUACAGACUAAGUGAUGGGAUGAAAAAAGAUAUUCCACUCAAAUGUAAACUAAAAGCAUGCAGGACUAGCUAUACUUAUAUCAGACAAAAUAGACUUUAAGUCAGUCAAAAAACAAAAAGAGAAAAGGUCAUUAUAUAAUGAUAAAGGGAUCAAUUCAGCUAGAGGAUAUAACAAUUGUAAAUAUAUAUGCACUCAACACUGGAGCACCCAGAUAUAUAAAAUAAAUAUUACUAGAGAUAAAGAGAGAGAUAGACCCCAGUACAAUAAGUUGGGGACUUCAGCACCUACUUUCAGCAUUGGACAGAUUAUGGUCUAGAAAAUCAACAUAGAGGCAUGAGACUUAAAAUACGCUAUAGACCAAUGAAUCUAAGAGACAUUUACAGACUAUUUCAUUCAACAGCUGCAGAAUACAUAUUCUCAUCAGCACAUGGAACAUUCUCCAGGAUAGCCCAUAUGUUAGGCCACAAAAUAAAUCUCAACAAAUAUUUAAGAAUCAAAAUCCUAUCAAGUAUCUUAUUAGACCACAAUGGAAUAAAAAGCAGUAUGUUGCAGCCUCCAGAACUGUGAGAAACAAAUUUCUGUUCUUUCUAAAUUAAAAAAACAAAAAGCACUAGAAGUAAGUAACACAAGGAACUCUGGAAACUGUACAAAUACAUGAAAAUUAAACAACACCAUCCUGAAAGAUCAAGGGGACAGUGAAGAAAUUAAGAAGAGGCUGAGUGAGGUGGCUCACACCUGUAAUCCCAGCACUUCAGGAGGCCAAGGAGGGCAGAUCACUUGAGGUCAUGAGUUCAAGACCAGCCUGGCCAACAUAGCAACACCCCCAUCUCUACUAAAAAUACAAAAAUUAACGGGCCAGGCAUGGUGGCUCACACCUGUCAUCCCACCACUUUGGGAGGCCACGGUGGGCGGAUCACCUGAGCUCAGGUGUUCGACACCAGCCUGGGCAACACACUGAAACCCCAUCUCUACUAAAAAUACAAAAAAUUAGCUGGGUGUGGUGGUGUGUGCCUGUAGUCCUAGCUACUCGGGAGGCUGAGGCAGGAGACUCUCUUGAAUCUGGGAGGCGGAGGUUGCAGUGAGCCAAGAUUGCACCGCUGCACUCCAGCCUGGGCAACAGAGCAAGACUCUGGCUCAAAAAAAAAACAAAAAACAAAAAAACGAAAAAGAUACAAAAAUUAGCUGGGUGUGGUGGCGUGCGCCUGUAAUCCCAGCUACUCGGGAGGCUGAGGUAGGAGAAUCGCUUGAACCUGGGGGGGCAGAGCCAAAAUUGUGCCACUGCACUCCAGCCUGGGUGACAGAAUGAGACUCUGUCUCAAAAAAAAAAAAAAAAAAAAAAUUAGUGCCGGGCGCGGUGGCUCACGCCUGUAAUCCCAGCACUUUGGAAGGUCGAGGCAGGCGGAUCACGAGUUCAGGAGUUCGAGACCAGCUGAUCAACAUAGAGAAACCCCAUCUCUACUAAAAAUACAAAAUUAGCCAGGUGUGGUGGCGCAUGCCUGUAAUCCCAGCUACUCAGGAGGCUGAGGCAGGAGAAUCACUUGAACCCAGAAGGCGGAGGCUGCAGUGAGCCAAGAUUGUGCCAUUGCACUCCAGCCUGGGCAACCAGAGCAAAACUCCAUCUCAAAAAAACAAAAAACAAAAAAAACACACAAACCUAAACUGCCUCUGUAACACUAAUGAAAGGCCACCAGGUUAGAAGGAUGAGAGGGGCCUGAAUUUGUAGUUAAAUGAUUACUGCCAUUAUUCCAAAGGUCACAAGAUUUACAACUUCCCCCAAUAACUCCUGUAAAUAACAUCACUAUUGUGGAACCUAAGAUUGGCCUUUUGAGAUGUCUUUUCAGGCUUUUGCAUCUCUGAUAACUGGAUGGCCCCAGUUAGACUCCUGUGGCCCCACCCAGAAGCAGACAGCACAUGAAGACCAUUUUCCACAGCCCUAUGACUGCACCCCAAACCAAUUAGCAGCACCCAUUCCCUAGCCCCCUGCCUGCCAAACUAUUCUUUAAAAAUCUUAGCCUCCAAAUUUUCGGGGAGGCUGAUUUGAGUAAUAAUAAAACUC